rnacentral:rRNA from 1 species
UACGUAGGGUGCAAGCGUUAAUCGGAAUUACUGGGCGUAAAGCGUGCGCAGGCGGUUGUGCAAGACCGAUGUGAAAUCCCCGGGCUUAACCUGGGAAUGGCAUUGGUGACUGCACGGCUAGAGUGUGUCAGAGGGGGGUAGAAUUCCACGUGUAGCAGUGAAAUGCGUAGAGAUGUGGAGGAAUACCGAUGGCGAAGGCAGCCCCCUGGGAUAACACUGACG